rnacentral:rRNA from 1 species
AUUGAACGCUAGCGGGAUGCUUUACACAUGCAAGUCGAACGAGUGGCGGACGGGUGUGUAACAUAUCGGAACGUGCCCAGUAGCGGGGGAUAACUACUCGAACCAGUGGCUAAUACCGCCUACCUUUGGAUCGGCCGCUAGCGGAUGAGCUAGUUGGUGGGGUAAAGGCUCACCAAGGCAACGAUCUGUAGCUGGUUUGAGAGGACGACCAGCCACGCUGGAACUGAGACACGGCCCAGACUCCUACGGUAGGCAGCAGUGGGGAAUUUUGGACAAUGGGGGAAACCCUGAUCCAGCCAUCCCGCGUGUAUGAGAAGGCCUUCGGGUUGUAGAGUACUUUUGGCAGAGAAGCGGUAUCUGCAGAAUAAGCACCGGCUAACUACGUGCCAGCAGCCGCGGUAAUUC